rnacentral:lncRNA from 1 species
AGUUAGGUUCAACCUAUCAAUCAAGGUCACAGUUAAAAGCAUUUAUUAGACACAUAACUCUUGCCAGGUACUGUGCUGGGAACAGAAGAUAUAGAAGCAACAAUGAGUCAGUCUUUCAGUCUUUGCCCUUAAGAUAUUAAUAUUCCACCAGAAGGACAAAUGUUCACAGGAGGAGAUGUCAAGGAGGCAGGACUGGACCUCAGGAGAGAAAUGAGGGCUAAACAUAGAAGUCAUCUAGAGAUGACAGGUACACAUUAGGGAGAAGAGAGUAAAGGGCUGUAAGAAACAAGUCCAGCUGGGAGAACUUAAAAAUGUGGACAGAUACACUUCAAGAAACAGAAGAUGGGAACAACCCUUGGAUAGGUCACUUCUAUAAUAUGCACCCAGAC